GAUGAACGCUAGCGGCAGGCCUAACACAUGCAAGUCGAGGGAGAAGCCCUUCGGGGCAGAAACCGGCGCACGGGUGCGUAACGCGUAUGCAACCUACCUUUCACAGGGGGAUAGCCCGAAGAAAUUUGGAUUAAUACCCCAUAAUAUUAUUGGAUGGCAUCAUUUGAUAAUUAAAAUUACGAUGGUGAAAGAUGGGCAUGCGUCCUAUUAGCUAGUUGGAGUGGUAACGGCACCCCAAGGCUACGAUAGGUAGGGGUCCUGAGAGGGAGAUCCCCCACACUGGUACUGAGACAGGGACCAGACUCCUACGAGAGGCAGCAGUGAGGAAUAUUGGUCAAUGGUCGGAAGACUGAACCAGCCAUGCCGCGUGCAGGAAGAAUGCCUUAUGGGUUGUAAACUGCUUUUAUAUGGGAAGAAUAAGGAGUACGUGUACUUUGAUGACGGUACCAUAUGAAUAAGCU
rnacentral:rRNA from 1 species